GGCUCAUUAAAUCAGUUAUCGUAUAUUUGAUAGUACCUACUACAUGGAUAACCGUGGUAAUUCUAGAGCUAAUACAUGCUUAAAAUCCCGACUUCGGAAGGGAUGUAUUUAUUAGAUUAAAAACCAAUGCCCUUCGGGGCUCACUGGUGAUUCAUAAUAACUUCUCGAAUCGCAUGGCCUUGUGCCGGCGAUGGUUCAUUCAAAUUUCUGCCCUAUCAACUUUCGACGGCUGGGUCUUGGCCAGCCGUGGUUACAACGGGUAACGGAGGGUUAGGGCUUGACCCCGGAGAAGGAGCCUGAGAAACGGCUACUACAUCCAAGGAAGGCAGCAGGCGCGCAAAUUACCCAAUCCCGACACGGGGAGGUAGUGACAAUAAAUACUGAUACAGGGCUCUUUUGGGUCUUGUAAUUGGAAUGAGUACAAUUUAAAUCCCUUAACGAGGAACGAUUGGAGGGCAAGUCUGGUGCCAGCAGCCGCGGUAAUUCCAGCUCCAAUAGCGUAUAUUAAAGUUGUUGCAGUUAAAAAGCUCGUAGUUGAACCUUGGGCCUGGCUGGCCGGUCUGCCUCACCGCAUGCACUGGUCCGGCCGGGCCUUUCCCUCUGGGGAUCCGCAUGCCCUUCACUGGGUGUGUCGGGGAACCAGGACUUUUACUGUGAAAAAAUUAGAGUGUUCAAAGCAGGCCUAUGCUCGAAUACAUUAGCAUGGAAUAAUAGAAUAGGACGUUGCGGUUCUAUUUUGUUGGUUUCUAGGACCGCCGUAAUGAUUAAUAGGGACAGUCGGGGGCGUCAGUAUUCAAUCGUCAGAGGUGAAAUUCUUGGAUCGAUUGAAGACUAACUACUGCGAAAGCAUUCGCCAAGGAUGUUUUCAUUAAUCAGGAACGAAAGUUAGGGGAUCGAAAACGAUCAGAUACCGUUGUAGUCUUAACCAUAAACUAUGCCGACUAGGGAUCGGGCGAUGUUAUUUCUUGACUCGCUCGGCACCUUACA
rnacentral:rRNA from 1 species